AACCAGACUCCUACGGGAGGCAGCAGUGAGGAAUAUUGGUCAAUGGGCGGGAGCCUGAACCAGCCAAGCCGCGUGAGGGAAGAAGGUCCAGCGUAUCGUAAACCUCUUUUGUCAGGGAACAAAGGCGGGGACGUGUCCCCGGAUGAGUGUACCUGAAGAAAAAGCAUCGGCUAACUCCGUGCCAGCAGCCGCGGUAAUACGGAGGAUGCGAGCGUUAUCCGGAUUUAUUGGGUUUAAAGGGUGCGCAGGCGGCACGGCAAGCCGGCGGUCAAAUCGCGGGGCUCAACCCCGCCCAGCCGUCGGAACUGCCGGGCUAGAGUGGGCGAGAAGUGCGCGGAAUGCGUGGUGUAGCGGUGAAAUGCAUAGAUAUCACGCAGAACUCCGAUUGCGAAGGCAGCAUACCGGCGCUCAACUGACGCUCAUGCACGAAAGUGUGGGUAUCGAACAGGAUUAGAUACCCCCGUAGU
rnacentral:rRNA from 1 species